UGCCCGCCUGGGGCUUUUGGAUCAAGAUGUAAAACUCUGGGCUCCUCCAUGCAUGUCUGCCUGCAUGCUGCCGUGCUUCCCACCAUGAUGAUAAUGGACUGAACCUCUGAAACGGUGUUUUGCUUGUGUGUAUGUCUGUUGCACCACAUGCAUGCAGUACCCAUGGAGGCCAGAAGAUUCCCCUGGAACUCUAGUUACAAACAGUGGUCAAGACUCUCAGAGGACUGUUCCAGCUUCUUCCACCAGAUCGGCUUGAGAAGAGGACCCCCAAGGAAAGGCCUCAAAGCUACUACCUUUGAACAGAAAAGGUUCUGGGCAAGGGAAGACAAUCCGGAACAGCUUCCCCAUGGCCUCUCCAGACUUUGCACCCUCUACGUCUCUUUAUGUGUCCCCUCAAAGUCUGAAGGAAAGGACUUGCUUUCAGAGUGGAGUGGAAAUCAAGUGUCUGACGAAAAGGAAAUCGGCUCUCCUCUUCUCCUCGUUCAUCUGCCUUGUGGGCUGGAAGGACUUGACUACCUCCCAACCUGACCACCAGUCACUCCCACGGUAGUUCUUCCCACCCCAGAGCCCACUUGUUGUCUUGAUCGUUUCUACCCCUCCCCUGUCGUCAUGGGAGCAAAACUCAGAUUUUCUUGUUCGGGAGACUGGAGUCCCUGAUGGUGAUCCCGAAACAUACUGUGUUAAUAAA